UCAAGAUGUGGCCUGCACCAGUGCUUCUGCUCGUCCAGUCGGCUCUGCUGAUUCAAGGAUCUUCCGCCCAGGAUUUGUUGACCCAGACGGACAAAAUCAAGUAUGUCAGUCUUGGUGGGACGGUGACCAUCAGCGCCAAAGGGAGUUCAAAUAUUGGUGAUGCUCUCAGUUGGUACCAAGUGAAACCUGGACAGGUUCCUAAACUUCUGAUCUAUGCUGCAUCAACCCUUUCUUCUGGAACACCACCUCGAUUCAGUGGCACACGAUCUGGCUCUGACUACACUCUGACUAUCAGUGGUGUUCAGGCAGAAGAUGUCGCUGAUUACUACUGUUUUGCCGCUUUUGGAGCUGGAAGAGCUGGCAGCAGCCUGCUUCCGCCCAGAGUGGGAGGAGCCUGUGGGAGGAGCCUGUGGGAGAAGCCUGUGGGAGCGCUGCGCGCGGUCUGCUCGCCUUCCCUGACGUCCUCGGUCUGGAGCGGCGCUUCCGGGAUUGCGGUGACGCAGUGCCGUCAUCGGGCCAAAUGGAGCAAAUUGGAAUAA